rnacentral:lncRNA from 1 species
GUAGUUCUGAACUGAGUGAAAGUCUGGAUAAUUCCAAACUUUAUGUCUUUCAGAUGUGAUUUUUUUCCCCCAAAAUUUUUAGCAGUGUGUGCUAAAACUAACAUUUUCCUAUGGUUCUCCAGAGCUGCUGCUCUGCACCAAUACAAUGCAGCUAACAAGAGGUUUUAUGGAGAAUGUUCUGUUUGGCAGUGCUGUAAUUGAAGGACACCUGCCAGUCUUUUGCCUAUCAGUAGUGGGCAGAGCUCUGGCAGAACUCGCUAAAGAACUGCAUCUAAAAUGACUUCGCUUAGCAAAGAGCUGUACUUCCAGGCAUCUUGGAAAAGGAGCCUCUUUCUGAGUUUUUGAUGUGAGAUGUCAAAGCGUUGUUGGUAUGAGGAAAUCUACUUGAACUGCUGUUAUUUGACAGCACCGUGUUUAUGAGCUGUAACGCUCACCGAGAAGAUCUGCAGUUUUACUCCUGAGGCCAGCGAGACCACGAACCCACUGGGAGGAAUGAACAACUCUAGAUGCACUGCCUGAAGAGCUGUGACACUCACCAUGAAGGUCCCUGCAGCUUCACUCCUGAAGCCAGCGAGACCAUGAACCCACCAGAAGGAAGAAGCUCCGAACACGUCCGAACAUCAGAAGGAACAAAUUCCGGACACACCAUUUUUAAGAACUGUAACACACACCACGAGGGUCUGCGGCUUCAUUCUUGAAGUCAGUGAGACCAAGAACCCACCAAUUUCGGACACACUGGGAUUACAGGCAUGAGCCAUUGUGCCCAGCCAUGUUUCCUCUUUUGUAUAGCAAGUACCUACCUGUUAGAAUUGUAAGUUUUUAUAAGCUUCUGCAUGAAAGGCACCUGCCAUGCUACCUCAAAAGAUCAUUGUGAAAAUCUCACUCCAGUGGCUCUAGAUUAACGGAACAAGACUAAAACUAAAAGCAGGAAGCCAAUGUGUCGUGCUAUGAUUUGAGGAGGGUACAUACAUAAAAUCCUUGACGCCCUUGCCUGUCCUUUCACAGUUCCUUUCCUUUGAGACUCAACAUUUUUGUCACCUUAAAUGGUUAUCAGAUGAUCCCUUAGCACGCAUUACUUCAAAGAUAGUGGGAGAAAAAAAUAACUGGGUAGAAAGACAACAGGAACACGGUUUGCUUUGGUUCCCUACUCAGAGACCCAUAAGGCAUAUUAGCAUAGUGAAGUCUCCCCUUGAGGAAUAGAUGGGUGAAAAGGUCACGGGGUGGAAAGGAUAGGCUA